GGAGAACGACAGAGAUGCUUCCGUCCAUAUCGGCAACGUUCUUCAUGGAUGUUCAUGGCUCCAUCUCCCUCGAAUACAAGUCCGCGUUAGCAAGAAAAAAACGCGACUUCCAAUCGUCCAUUAGAGGCUCAUGCUCAACGUUCACCAUCCGGUUUGGUUUGCGUACACGUACGUGAAUAAUGAAGAACGAAAUCGAAAUCGAGAAAACUCACCAGAUUUGGAGUUCUGAUUGCCACCAGCUUUGCAGGUAUACGAAUGCGGUCAGCGAAAUGUUGUAGGUUGCCGUUGCAGGUUGGACGUUACUUUUGAAUUAUCAUACUGGUUGGUUCAUGCAGGGUUUGUGGACUCUGUUGGCUGUUUGGUAUACAGUGAGAAAAGAAAGGAUAAAUAGAACGCAACAGAUGGGAAGAACGGCGACGACAAGGUGUUUUUGGAUUUGGCUUAAUUGUGUGGUUUGUUUAUGCAGGGAAAAAUUCAAGGCUAAGGUUUAUGCGCAAGCUGGUGAGGUGAACUGAUAUUGCAGGUAUGUAUUUGAUUCCGAUGAGCACGAAGAGGUGAGGAAAAUCGCCACUGUUAAAGCACAACUGCACCCAAGUAGGAUAUGAAGACCACUCGCAGUUUUUUUCUCAACACAAGGAGAUAUAAGUCAUGCAAGGGUGAUGGUAAGCAAUCAUGUAUCAAGAAGAAUCGCAAUGCCCUCUACGGCCCGCUUAGUUGUAUUAUUCUGCUCGGGGCUUACUUCUCCGGUAAGAAUAUUCUAAGGUUGUUGGGAACCAAGCUGUGAAACUGAGUCUGCAUUGCUAUGGUCAUUAAGGUUACUACUAUUAUGAGGACAAUACCAUAUUGCAAUUUCCCUCAAUCGUUUCUUCCAGAUAGCAUCCACGGCAUCAGGACCCACAUUAGCAUUUUAGACAAUCUUGUGCAAGACCAAGAUCUUCGUUGGCAGUUCUUUCCUUCAGCAUUUCAUGCCCUUUCAAAGAACCAACCUUAUUGAAGUCAGAUAUUCUGAUAUUACUCGCCACAUGACAUGUUUCAUGCUGGCUUGAUAUACUCGUGGUUUAUUGACGCCUUAUUAUGUCGUGAACAUGCAUGUGUGCGACCAUGCUUGGGAGAAACAAGGGUGACAUACAAAGAACCUUGCCAAGACGAAUUUUGUAUAAGCUUGCACAUGACUCAAUCUUUGGCAUGAAGAUCAUGAAUGAAGAAGGAUCAAGACGUAAAGAAGGAGCAAUGGUGUGAGCUAUGUAAAUGUGCGUGCUGCAGAAGAUCAGCCUUGCUUUUAAUGUUAGUGUUGUUUGAAGGCUUGAUUGGACAUGCUGGUGGCGCCACUCAAUGUGUAGUUGAUUCGUUAACAGCUUCGGUUUUGGGCUUUUGAAUUGCUAUUGUUGGGUUGCAGCUUUGGAUUGUGGUCAUUACUCAUGUUCAUGUGAUACUUGGACUCUGUACCGCAAUCUUGGUCCUUGGCCAUUUCAACUGCUUCUGUUUUGCAUUUCUUCCUUUCUCAUGAUUGACUUUCUCCAAAUGCUCAAGUCGUUCUUCAAAUCUCGGCAGGAAAUUCAACCUCGAAUUUGUAUUCUUUUGUGCGUCUAAUCACCGCCUUGAAUGCAGUUGCUCCUUUCUUGCAGUUGUAUAUGCGCUUGCCCUUGGAUUUGACUGUUCAAGUGGGAUGGUGACACAACAGUGUCAAUGUUGUCUGGCGACCCAAACUUUCUCCGCUUCCCAGCUACAGAUGAAGCUGUUAACUUUUUCUUAUCAUUCCUUGGAUGUUUUUGAUUCUAUCGGCGUGUGCCUCAGAUAAAAGCAGGUCCAAUAUUGUUUGCCCAUGCUCCGCAGCAGUGUUCUUGCACUUUUUGCUUACAACUCCAGAUGCUCCCAUUGCGUGGUUUAUCAUACUUUCCUCUGCGAACUGAUAGAACAACCCUGAAGAAGGUGCCAUUACUAUUUCCGUCACUUCUAGAAGCAUUAUUUCCUGCAGUUCAAAUUUUUGUUUCGUCACCAUCAUCUAACUGAGACACCAGUUUAGCCAUUUGGUCCCAUUCUCCCAUGUUCCAAGCAGCAUUAACAACCAUUGGUGCUAUUUCAAGACGAGUUACUGCAUCAGCUGGGGUCCAAUAUUCCUUACAUUGUCACUUAACUCUUCCCAUCGAGCUAAUGCAGCAAGGAAUCUCAUCCUACCUAAAGCGGUGUCCAACACAAGUUGUGCACUUGUUACUUCAGAUGCCUUUGAAGUAUAUGCCUUGAGAGCAUCAUCCCAUCGCUGCAGUUUCUCAUACCAUGACUCCUUAAGUUGAACUUCUAGAUAUUGGUGAGCAUAGGUCAAUACUCCAACUGCAUCCAUCUUGAGUCUAACUGCUGCAAUUUUUUAUAGGACCGUCAACCGAUCAAGUUUCACUAACUGCGACUUCAUAUUCCAUUGAAGAUGCAUUUAGUUGUUCUGACAACUUCCUAGGAUUUUCUUCCUUGGAUUGUAUAGAAGUGUCCAAAAUUUUAUUUGUCUCACCGACAGCAAUAGCAUCUUCAAUUAGGCGCACCUGACUCAUCUAGCCUCUUACUAGAACCAACAGUAUUUACUUCUUGGUUUACCAUGUGAGUUGGUGAAUUUCCUUUGUAGAUCCAUAAUCACUUUCAUGAGCUGAAAACGGAUUCAAUGGCGGCUUUGACUGUGAAAUGUGUCUACCAUGUUGAAAACAAAAAGGUUGGACUUCUUGGUGGUAUAGGUGACGCCAUUGGCUUACCAUGGGUAUUGCAUAUCCUGCCUGAGAGGUGUCUUAAUGUUUGUUCCUUUCAACAAACUACUUGUGUCGUAACAAGCCUUACUUGGCUUCGACAAACUUCCAUACGAUGAUUCUGGAUCCAUUAGUCGGCUAUUUGGGAAAUCUAGAACUAAUGGUUGAAUGAAUUUGUAAUGGAUUUGGGUUUAAUGAAAUAUAUAUGGUUUGAAUUUGUAAUUUGACUUGGUUUAGUGGUUGAAUUGGAAUGGAAUAGUUAA